GUUUUAUCUUGUUGCUUGGUGCGCGUAAACACAGGUGUUUUUACAGAAAAUUUUGUUUAAUUAAGUUAAGUAUUUAUACAUGAAAUUGCUCAUGCCGUAAAAACAGAAAUAACAAAAAGUUAAACAUGGCUACGGGUCAUAUUCUCCCGGGCUAUGGUAAACCCUGUUACUAAUUUGAGAAGAGCAAAAACUGCAACUUUGCCUCUUGACAAGGCUAAACUGAGGGAGUUUGCAUUGUACAAUAAUCCAGGUCCAGAUCAUAAUGAAUUGUUAAAUAUCAGAAAUGAAGCAACUCGUAUUUGGUCAGCUCAAGCACGCCAUCCAACAACUUACAAUUCACAUUUUGAAGGGAAAUUCUUAGAUGAAGCAACACAAUCACGUCCUUCAUCCAGAUGUAGACGAAACAAGCCACAUCCACGUCAGUAAGUUAAAUAUUGUAGAAUGCAAAAUCUAAUAUAUUUAUUCUCAAAUCAAACAUUGUAAAUCAUGGUUUUACUGUGGUAUGAUUUCUUAUCAUAAAUUAUGAGGUAUAUAUAUUUUAU
rnacentral:lncRNA from 1 species